rnacentral:lncRNA from 1 species
CCGAGCCACGUGCCUCAAACCUCGGACCCACGUGCAUUCUCUAAGGCGACCUCUUCGCCAAGGUGGUACAUCAAGCCACCGAGCCACGUGUCCUUUUUACGAUGCCCGGGCCCACGUGCAUUCUCUAAGGUGCUAUCUCACCAAGGUGAUGCAUCAAUUCACCGAGCCACGUGCCCUUUUAGAUGCCAUUCCGGAAUGCUGGACCCACGUGCAUUCUCUAAGGUACUCGCUUACCAAAGUGACGCAUCAGAUCACCGAGCCACGUGUCCUUUUAGAUGCCAAAUCCUGUCACCGAGCCACGUGCAUUCUCCAGGACGACAUACCUAGUCUCCGAGUCACGUGCAUUCUCUCAGGCGACCUUUUCGCCAAGGUGACAUAUUCAACCACUGAACUCACGUGCAUUUUCCAGGUGACAUUCCAAUUCACCGAGCCACGUGUCCUCUUUGCAGUGGUUACCAAUUCACUUUCAAUAUCGACAACCAAUGCCCAAUGAUUUCUCAAUCAAAUAAUUAAAUCAACUCAACAAAACAUUAUAAAUGCUGAAUAAACAUACUUGGCCAUUCACCAAUCAAUACUCAAUCAAAUAAUUAAAUUAACUCAACAAAGCAUUAUAAAUGCUGAAUAAACAUACUUGGCCAUUCACCAAUCGAUAAUUCAAUCUCAAUCGAUUCCAAUCAAUUUAGGGUAAAUCCCUAAAAUAUCACAAUUUAUUCAAUUCCAUACAACGUGGAGCUCAAAUAAAUAAACGAACUGCGCCACGACGAUCAGCACGAGAUUUCGGUCGUCGGCCAUCAAAAUCUUAAUUUCCGAAAAAUAAUUAAUUAAUUUCGAAAAUUAAAUAAUUAAUAUUAAAAAUUCAAUUUAGCUCAAAUAAAGCCCGAUUAAAUAAACGGACUUCACCACGGUCAUCAGCACAAUAUUCCGGUCCCGAGCCAUCUCAGUUGAAUUUUCGGAAAAUAAAUAAUUAUUUAAUUUAAUUCCGAAAAUUAAUAUUUAAAUACUAAAAAAUCCACUUAGGCCCGAAAAGCCUAUUUGGAGCCCACUAAGGGUCGGGAAAAAUCCCGAGGCACUUCCAAUAAUUAGUAGACCACGUCUACUUGCUAAUUGCACAAUCAAUUUAUCUAAAUCGCAUCACAAUUCACUAAUAAUUGCUAAUUUAUUCUAAUCUAACAACCUAAAUAUAAUUAAUUAAAUCUAAACCAACCUUAAGCAUAAUUAGCCAACUAAUCCAAGAUUAGUGAGAUUACUCACCAAAUCGCGCGCAAGUCGGAUCAAUCCGACGGCGGCGACGCGAGGAACAAAACUCCCCAAAGCGACUCGCGGAUUCGGGGCCGAGAAAUGGCCCAAAACGGGCCCAAGAGCCGGCUGAAAACCCACUUCGUGGGUUGCUGGAUUAGGGUGGCUGGACGAGACGGAACAGCGGCUGGUUCGUGCGGAGGGAGGAGCGGCCGCGAGCGACGGACGGCGGGACGGCGGCGGCGCACAGGCGCGGCGCGGGUGCGGGCGACGGUGCGGCGGCGGGACAGCGACGGAGCUGCAACUUCUGGUCUUCUUCCGCUUCUGGUUUCCGCGAAGAAGAAAGAAGAAAGAAGGAGAAGAAAGGAGCCGGUUCUGUCGUGCAGGGGAAGAAAGAAGAGAGAGAGAGAAGGGAUAAGCAUUGACCGGUCAAAGAAAGAGAGAGGGAGGGAAUGGGCGGUGGGGGCAAUUCGCACGAGGGGGAGGGGAGAGGAGAGAGAAAGAAAAGAGAGAAAAGAAAGAAAAGAAAAGAGAGGGAGAGAGAGAGGAAAAAGAAAAGGAAAUGCAUAAUUCCUUAUUUCAAUUUUCCUUUUCUCUUUUCUUUUGGGCUUCAAUUUUCUUCCGAUAAUUUCUUUAUUGAAAUUUCGGACCCGUCAAUAAAUUGACGAGCGAUGAGACAGGAUCCUAAAAAUAAGAAUUAUGACGCGCUUAAAAUUCGAUUCCCGAAAUCGAGUUCAAUUUCGUGGUUAAAAAUCGAUCAAACGUGAUUUUAGUCCAAUCCAACAAAUUGAGUAGCUUUUAGGGAUUUUACUGCAGAUACAUCCCUUAACGGCUUCACCCAAUAAGUUAGUUAACUCGUGAGUGAUCAGCUCAGAGAAAAGGACCGUAAACACGUUGACGAAAGGCCCAUUUCACUUUAUCGAAACGGGGUCGAAUUUCAGGAUGUCACAACUCUUCCCCUCUUAUAAAAAUUUCGUCCUCGAAAUUUAAGCCAUUACGCACUUUGAUAAAAAGGCGGGGGUACAACUGUCUCAUCGAUUCUUCCGUCUCCCAGGUCGCUCCUUCAUUGCCGUGGUGUUGUUAGACCACUUUGACCAACGGAAUGGUCUUUGUACGCAGAACUUGCUCUUUGCGAUCGACAAUCUGAGCCGGGCUUUCCACGUAUGACACACGGUCAUCCACGUCCAAUUACUCGAAAUUGAGCACGUGGGUCGGGUCAGGCUCGUACUUCCUUAAUCUCGACACGUGAAAGACGUCAUGCACUUGCGCCAAACUUGGCGGCAACGCAAGACGAUACGCUAGGUUUCCGAUUCUUUCAAGAAUCUCAAACGGACCUAUGUACCUCGGACUCAGUUUGCCUUUCUUACCAAAGUGCGAAGUUCCCCUCAUUGGUGACACUUUCAGAAAAACGUGAUCACCAACUUGGAAUUCCAAAGACCUUCAACGCUUAUCUGCAUAACUUUUCUGCCUGCUCUGCGCUGUCUUUAAUCUGUCUCUGAUCACUGCCACGGCAUCUACCGAUUGCUGAACCAACUCUGGGCCUGAUAUCUUCCUUUCUCCGACUUCAUCCCAACACACUGGAGUUCUGUAUACUCUGCCAUACAACGCUUCAAAUGGAGCCAUCUUGAUACUCUGCUGAUAACUGUUGCUGUAGGAGAAUUCCACCAGAUGAAGCUGAUCUUCCCAACUUCCUUUGAAGUCUAUUACACAUGCUCUCAGCAUGUCUUCAAGAGUCUGAAUCGUCCUUUCAGACUGGCCAUCCGUCUGAGGAUGAUACGCCGUACUGUACUGAAUCUUUGUACCUAAAGCACUCUGCAAGCUCUUCCAAAAAGCAGCAGUAAAUCUUGGAUCUCUAUCGGAUGUUAUCGUAACUGGCACUCCAUGCAUACGAACCACCUGACGCACAUACAAGUCUGCGUGUCUAUCUAGACUCAGGUCCUUUCGAACUGCAAUGAAGUGAGCCGACUUUGUCAGCCUGUCGACUACUAUCCAAAUCGAAUCAUUUCCCCUUUGACUCCUUGGUAGUCCAGUCACGAAGUCCAUCGUGAUAUGCUCCCAUUUCCACUCUGGGAUCGCGAGAGGUUGUAGAAAUCCUCCCGGCUUACAAUGCUGAGCUUUUACUUGCUGACAAGUUAAACACUUGGCCACAUGCUUGGCGAUGUCCGCCUUCAUACCUGACCACCAGUAGUGUUGACGUAAAUUCUGAUACAUCUUAGUGCUUCCAGGAUGAACGCUGUAAUUGCUACGAUGUGCUUCAGAUAAAAUUUCUUCUCUAAGCUCAACAUCGUCAGGUACCACCAAACGUCCUUGGAACCUUAGAGUCCCAUCAUCAGAAACUUGAAAAUCAGCUUUUAUUUUAUAAGUAUCCUCUUGAAGAAUUUUCUGUACGUCUGGAUCUGUCGGUUGAAGUUCUUUGAUUCUGACUUGGACAUCCGGUUCAAUUCUGAGGGUGGCCAUAAAACUCGAGAGGUGGCCUACCUCGAAUUUGAAUUCCAAAUCUCGAGCUCUCUCAAUUAAGUUCCACUCCUUAACCAUGAUCCGUGCCACUGAAGACUUCCGACUCAAUGCAUCGGCGACCUUGUUCGCCUUUCUCGGGUGAUAUAGAAUGUCACAGUCGUAAUCUUUCAGCAAUUCCAUCCAUCGCCGCUGUCUCAUGUUCAACUCCUUCUGAGAGAACAAAUACUUGAGACUCUGGUGGUCCGUGAAGAUCUGAAACUUUUCCCCACACAAGUAGUGCCUCCAAAUCUUCAACGCAAAUAUGAUGGCUGCGAGUUCUAAGUCAUGCGUCGGAUAAUUCAAUUCAUGAGGUCUCAACUGCCUGGAAGCGUAUGCAACAACUCUGCCAUGUUGCAUCAGCACGCAACCCAAUCCCCUGAAUGACGCAUCACUAUAGAUCUCGAAUCCUCCAGGACAAGAUGGAAUCGUCAGCACAGGUGCGGUAGUCAGCUUUUCCUUCAAUUCUUGAAAACUACACUCGCACUUGUCUGUCCAUAUGAACUUCUCAUUUUUCUUCGAGAGCUUUGUCAGAGGCGACGCUAUCGAUGAGAACCCUUCCACAAACCGUCUGUAAUAACCUACUAACCUUAGAAAACUUCUGAUUUCUGUCACUGAUGUCGGUCUCGGCCACUUGAUCACGGCUUCUGUCUUGCUCGGGUCGACGGAGAUUCCUUCUCCGGAAAUCACAUGACCUAAGAACGCAACACGAGUCAGCCAAAACUCGCAUUUGCUGAAUUUAGCAUACAACUGAUGAGUUCUUAAGGUCUGAAGCACUAAUCUCAGAUGAUUCUCAUGCUCUUCAUCACUUCUCGAAUAGGCUAAGAUAUCAUCAAUGAACACAAUCACAAACUGAUCCAGAUAUUCCUUGAACGUUCUGUUUGUCAAAUCCAUGACAGCAACUGGAGUGUUCACCAUGCUAAACGAUCUUUUAUAAUACUCUCGUAAAGACCAUAUCAAGUACGAACAGCUGUCUUUCGUACAACCUCCUUCCUGGUUCGUAACUGACAACUUCAUAAUCUCAAGUCGACCUUUAAAACAUCGAUACUCUUUAUACUAGUCACACCAUUCAUGGAUCUUUGGCAAAGAACACUUGUCCUUGAUCUUCACUAAUUGAGUUGAUGAUAGUUGAUGCGCACUUGCAAUAAACCAUCUUUCUUCUUCUCACAAACGAAACUGAUGUUUCCCAAAAUGAUGCACUGAUAUGGAUGAAUUCCUCAUUCAUCAAUCUUCACAUCUGCAUCUUCAAUUCUACCGAUUCAGACAACAACAGCUGGUAAGAAGCCUUCGAGAGUGGCUCUAUCUUGGUGCUAUCUCAAUUGCAAUUUCAAUCUUUCUUUCUGGCAGUAACUCAAGCAAUUCCUUCGGAACCAUCUUAGAAAUUUUUCGGUAUCACGACCACCUUCUUCGCAUUCUAUUUCUCAACUGACACAUCCACUACAGCUGUCAAAUCAAUCUUGGCAACCUCCGUCUAACAAACGGAUUGUCUUUAGCCAACGAGAUUAAUGAAAUCGAAGAUUCUUUUCGACUCUUAAUAAUCUUGCUAUUUUCGCAAACUAAUAGACUAAACUGGAUUAUUCCAUGACCAUGAUUCCUUAUCACAAGAUGCUUUAUGAACUCACACUAUUCAUGUGGCGUCAAACUCACACCUUAGCAACUAGUCAAGCACAACUAUUGCUAGUAAUUCAUUCUCUUUCACUUUUACGUCAACAAUUUAAGUUCUACCAACUCAGCACAAAGCUCUACUGCGCUUCUCUGAAAAAAUCACUUCCAACACAUUCUUUCUCUGAUCGGUGCAAGGUCCAUUUUACUCCCAUUCCUUCAUGGCCGCAGUAGCGAUGUCUAUGCCACCUUAGACUUCCACUGACAGUCCUUCACCUGAUGGCCAUGCUAGUCAUCAUCACAACAUGUUCUAGUCAUACUCGGACACUGGAUUUAUCCAUACUUCCUUCUACAACUCCGACACCUAUCUGGUGCAUCUUCUAUCUUCUAUUAGGCGAAAGCAUGCACUCUUUCUGGUUGCCUCAUCAUUCUGCUAGGACCACUCCUGACCAGAUAUCCCUGUUAGCUAUACUCCAAACAAAUUCGCGUCCUAGGAAGGACAUAAUACUGAUCUCCAUCAUCACGUCUGAAAACAACCUGAUCUAUUUGACUCGGUGCUGACUUGACUACUCCAUCCUUCCUCGUGAGUGGAAUAGAAUGUUUUUUCUCUCGACCUCGGUCUUUUCCCUGACCGAUUUCCAUUUUUGCCUGAACUGGAUCUAUACCUCGGCUCGAAUGCAAUGACUCGCUCCCAGAUCACAUCUCCACUCUGGAUCUCAGCAGGAGAGGCGACAACUGCGGUUGCGGCACUGAUGGCAGCUCGAUCUUGAGCUUGCUGGCUCAUCCAGUUCCCAAGGAACACUAGCAUCAGAACGAUCCUAUCGAACUUAGGAUCAUUCGACGCUGCUACACUAGUACCAACCUGCGGUGGUACUCUUACACUCGAGCUGGCCAGAGCCAACACUCUGCCACAACCACCUCGGGUACCGACCUUUGUCAGUGCUUUAUCCCGAGUCACAAAGGACAUUGUCCUCUUACUAGGAGUUCUCAACUCCUGCUCGCUCAUGGUUCAGUCUUUACACUGAAACCCGUCUUCCACAUCCACACCGGAUUAGAAGAUGAGCGAUCCACACACAACAAACAAUUCUAGCAUUCGGCUAGCACAGACAUGCAUUGGCAUGAAUUUAAAGGCCAUCCUACUAACUAUCCCAUGGUCAACGCUCCUUAUUACUCCAAUCUUCAACCUCGCUCUGAUACCACUUAAACUGGAUGUCACGCCCCGAUCCUCGGGCACGCACACAUCCUUCUCACUUGGUCGAUUUUAUAAUGCGAUAUCCCAGGACUAGUAUCGCCGACCCUUUCAUUUAUUAAGCACAUGCGGAAGCAGUUAAAAUCCCCAGACAAUAAAACGAUGGGAUAGAAAAGCAGGGCCAUAUUUUUCAUAUUGAAAUUUAUAACCAAACUUUUAUACAAACCACAAACCCUUUCAUAACUAUUCACAUCAACAUGGAGAUCUCAAAAGAAGACAGAAACUUAGAUGAACUAGGCCGUACUCGAGGCCCCUCUCAUAAUUGUCUUCUUCUUCCAAAAAUCCUUUUCUUCAGAUCUCUCCUCCGAGUUCUCCUUCUCGGAUUCCUCCUCCACAGCUCUUCAGCGGGGUCCUGAAAUGGUUUCCCCAAACUGGGAUGAGACUACGUCUCAGCGAGUUCUACCCCACUAAGCCCGAUUAGUAAACUAUUAGACUAAAGGCUGCCUAAACACGCACAGGGCAGAGGACUUACCUUGGCCUCUUAUCUCACCUGCAAGUCAGUACAAUUCAUAAUAGGCACCAAAGCAAUCAUAUCACCGAUCGAAGCAUCGAUCAAAUCGACCUAGUCGAUUAUAUUCCAACAAGACCACUCACGGUCAUUUCCAUUCAGUCAAUCAAUUCACAACAUCAAAUCAAAGCAUCGACCUAGUCGAUUACAUGCCAAACAAAUCAAUCCCCACUGUGGGAUAUUUAAAAACUAGGCCACAUGUAUUCUCCAGGAUGACCUUCCAAGUCUCCGAGCCACGUGCCUCAAACCUCGGACCCACGUGCAUUCUCUAAGGCGACCUCUUCGCCAAGGUGGUACAUCAAGCCACCGAGCCACGUGUCCUUUUUACGAUGCCCGGGCCCACGUGCAUUCUCUAAGGUGCUAUCUCACCAAGGUGAUGCAUCAAUUCACCGAGCCACGUGCCCUUUUAGAUGCCAUUCCGGAAUGCUGGACCCACGUGCAUUCUCUAAGGUACUCGCUUACCAAAGUGACGCAUCAGAUCACCGAGCCACGUGUCCUUUUAGAUGCCAAAUCCUGUCAC